GUCCGGGUGGCACAGCGGUUAACGCAACUGCUUAAUAAGCAGGAGAUCCCGGGUUCGAAUCCCGCUCCGGCACA